AGGUUAAGCUACUAAGGCACACGGUGGAUGCCUUGGCGCUAGGAGCCGAUGAAGGACGGGACGAACUCCGAUAAGCUUCGGGGAGCUGUAAGUAAGCUUUGAUCCGGAGAUUUCCGAAUGGGGCAACCCACCAGCUUGAAGAGCUGGUACCGCCACCUGAAUCCAUAGGGUGGUCGGGGGCAGACCAGGGGAACUGAAACAUCUAAGUACCCUGAGGAAGAGAAAGCAAACGCGAUUCCCUGAGUAGCGGCGAGCGAAACGGGAACAGCCCAAACCGAUGGCCUUGUGCCAUCGGGGUUGUAGGACGUCUCACACGGAGUCACAAAGGGAGCGAAUAGGUGAACUGGUCCUGGAAAGGCCGGCAAUAUAAGGUAACAGCCCUGUAACCGAAAUUCGUUCCCCUCCGAGACGGAUCCUGAGUACCGCGGGACACGUGAAACCCCGUGGGAAGCUGGGAGGACCACCUCCCAAGGCUAAAUACUCCCUAGCGACCGAUAGUGAACCAGUACCGUGAGGGAAAGGUGAAAAGCACCCCGGGAGGGGAGUGAAAGAGAACCUGAAACCGUGUGCUUACAACCAGUCGGAGUCCCCUUGAGGGAUGACGGCGUGCCUUUUGUAGAAUGAACCGGCGAGUAACGGUUGCGUGCAAGGUUAAGGUGAGAAGCUGGAGCCGUAGCGAAAGCGAGUCUGAAUAGGGCGCUUCAGUACGUAGUCGUUGACCCGAAACCGGGUGAUCUACCCAUGUCCAGGAUGAAGUUCCGGUAACACGGAAUGGAGGUCCGAACCUGUUGGUGUUGAAAAACCAUAGGAUGAGGUGUGGGUAGGGGUGAAAUGCCAAUCGAACCCGGAGAUAGCUGGUUCUCCCCGAAAUAGCUUUAGGGCUAGCCUCGGAUCAAGAGUCAUGGAGGUAGAGCACUGAUUGGGCUAGGGGCCCCCACAGGGUUACCGAACUCAGUUAAACUCCGAAUGCCAUCGACUCAUAUCCGGGAGUCAGACUGCGAGUGCUAAGAUCCGUAGUCAAGAGGGAAACAGCCCAGACCACCAGCUAAGGUCCCCAAGUAAUCGUUAAGUGGCAAAGGAUGUGGAGUUGCCUAGACAACCAGGAUGUUGGCUUAGAAGCAGCCACCAUUCAAAGAGUGCGUAAUAGCUCACUGGUCAAGUGACUCUGCGCCGAAAAUGUAACGGGGCUAAACGAUUCACCGAAGCUGUGGAUGCCGCCACAUUCACUCUGUCUUUCAUUGAUCGUCGGCGAAAUGCCAUAGCGAAACGAUGUGUGUGGAAGCUGGAGUGAAUGCGGUGGCAUGGUAGGGGAGCGUUCCAAGCAGCAGCGAAGCUGCUUCGCGAGAAGUGGUGGAGCGCUUGGAAGUGAGAAUGCCGGUAUGAGUAGCGAAAAGAGGGGUGAGAAUCCCCUCCACCGUAAGCCUAAGGUUUCCUGAGGAAGGUUCGUCCGCUCAGGGUUAGUCGGGACCUAAGCUGAGGCCGAAAGGCGUAGGCGAUGGACAACAGGUUGAUAUUCCUGUACCACCUAUUUUCGUUUGUACGAUGGGGGGACGCAGGAGGGUAGGGAAUCGCGCGACUGGAAGUGCGCGUCCAAGCAGUGAGGCCGAAAGGAUAGGCAAAUCCGUCCUUUCUAUAGGCUAGGCUGUGAUGGCGAGGGAAAUCAUCAGUACCGAAGUUCCUGAUCUCACACUGCCAAGAAAAGCCUCUAGGAGAAAAUAGGUGCCCGUACCGCAAACCGACACAGGUAGGCGAGGAGAGAAUCCUAAGGUGCUCGGGAAAACUCUCGUUAAGGAACUCGGCAAAAUGACCCCGUAACUUCGGGAGAAGGGGUGCCCCGGUAGGGUGAAAGCCCGAGGGGGCCGCAGUGAAGAGGUCCAGGCGACUGUUUAGCAAAAACACAGGUCUCUGCUAAGCCGCAAGGCGAUGUAUAGGGGCUGACGCCUGCCCGGUGCUGGAAGGUUAAGGGGAAGGGUUAGCGCAAGCGAAGCUCUGAACCGAAGCCCCAGUAAACGGCGGCCGUAACUAUAACGGUCCUAAGGUAGCGAAAUUCCUUGUCGGGUAAGUUCCGACCCGCACGAAAGGCGUAACGAUCUGGACGCUGUCUCAACGAGAGACCCGGUGAAAUUGUACUGCCAGUGAAGAUGCUGGCUACCCGCGACAAGACGGAAAGACCCCGUGGAGCUUUACUGUAGCCUGAUAUUGAAUCUAGGUACGACUUGUACAGGAUAGGUGGGAGUCUGAGAAACCGGAGCGCCAGCUUCGGUGGAGACGCCGGUGGGAUACCACUCUGGUCGUAUCGGGGUUCUAACUCGCCGCCGUCAUCCGGCGGGAGGACCGUGUCAGGUGGGCAGUUUGACUGGGGCGGUCGCCUCCUAAAAAGUAACGGAGGCGCUCUAAGGUUCCCUCAGCGCGGUCGGAAAUCGCGCUCUAGAGUGCAAAGGCAGAAGGGAGCUUGACUGCGAGACCUACAAGUCGAGCAGGGACGAAAGUCGGACUUAGUGAUCCGGUGGUUCCGAGUGGAAGGGCCAUCGCUCAACGGAUAAAAGCUACCCCGGGGAUAACAGGCUUAUCUCCCCCAAGAGUCCACAUCGACGGGGAGGUUUGGCACCUCGAUGUCGGCUCAUCGCAUCCUGGGGCUGUAGUAGGUCCCAAGGGUUGGGCUGUUCGCCCAUUAAAGCGGUACGCGAGCUGGGUUCAGAACGUCGUGAGACAGUUCGGUCCCUAUCUGUCGUGGGCGUAGGAAAUUUGAGAGGAGCUGUCCUUAGUACGAGAGGACCGGGAUGGACGCACCUCUGGUGUACCAGUUGUUCCGCCAGGAGCACCGCUGGGUAGCCAAGUGCGGACGGGAUAAGCGCUGAAAGCAUCUAAGCGCGAAGCCCCCCUCAAGAUGAGAUUUCCCAUUCCCCUGUGGAAGUAAGACCCCUUGUAGAUGACGAGGUUGAUCGGUCCGAGGUGUAAGCGUAGCAAUGCGUUUAGCUGACGGAUACGAAUCGGUCGAGGGCUUAUCCUA
rnacentral:rRNA from 1 species